AUCCUGUAUUUUUUAACUUUGCAUGUGAGUCAGAAGUGCCCUGGCAGCCAGGAGGGCCAACUGUGUCCUGGGGGGCAUCUGGCAAAGCAUCGCCAGAUUGUAGAGGGAGGGGAUUGUACCCCUCUGCUCUGCACUGGGGCAGCCUCACCUCUAAUAUUAUAUGCAGUUUUGGGCAC